rnacentral:rRNA from 1 species
UACGAAGGGUGCAAACGUUGCUCGGAAUCAUUGGGCGUAAAGCGCACGUAGGCGGCGUUCUAAGUCGGAUGUGAAAUCCCUCGGCUCAACCGAGGACGUGCAUCCGAAACUGGAAUGCUCGAGUAUGCAAGAGGGUCGCGGAAUUCUCGGUGUAGAGGUGAAAUUCGUAGAUAUCGGGAGGAACACCAGUGGCGAAGGCGGCGACCUGGGGCAAUACUGACGCUGAGGUGCGAAAGCGUGGGGAGCAAACAGG